GGUCAAUGGACGAAAGCCUGAACCAGCCAAGCAGCGUGCAGGAUGACGGCCCUAUGGGUGGAAAACUGCUUUUAUACGGGAAUAAAGUGAGG
rnacentral:rRNA from 1 species